GGCUCUAUAGCCAAGUGGUAAGGCAAGGCACUGCAACUGCCUCAUCAUCGGUUCAAAUCCGUUUGGAGCCUCCA
rnacentral:tRNA from 1 species